CCUCUUUUCUCAAGGAAGAAGAUAUGACGGUACUUGAGGAAUAAGCCACGGCUAAUUCCGUGCCAGCAGCCGCGGUAAUACGGGAGUGGCAAGCGUUAUCCGGAAUUAUUGGGCGUAAAGCGUCCGCAGGCGGCUUCUCAAGUCUGCUGUUAAAACGUGGAGCUUAACUCCAUCAUGGCAGUGGAAACUGAGAGGCUUGAGUAUGGUAGGGGCAGAGGGAAUUCCCGGUGUAGCGGUGAAAUGCGUAGAUAUCGGGAAGAACACCAGUGGCGAAGGCGCUCUGCUGGGCCAUUACUGACGCUCAUGGACGAAAGCCAGGGGAGCGAAAGGGAUUAGAUACCCCUGUAGUCCUGGCCGUAAACGAUGAACACUAGGUGUCGGGGGAAUCGACCCCUUCGGUGUCGUAGCUAACGCGUUAAGUGUUCCGCCUGGGGAGUACGCACGCAAGUGUGAAACUCAAAGGAAUUGACGGGGGCCCGCACAAGCGGUGGAGUAUGUGGUUUAAUUCGAUGCAACGCGAAGAACCUUACCAGGGUUUGACAUCCUGCGAACCUCUUAGAAAUUUGAGGGUGCCUUCGGGAAUGCAGUGACAGGUGGUGCAUGGCUGUCGUCAGCUCGUGUCGUGAGAUGUUGGGUUAAGUCCCGCAACGAGCGCAACCCACGUUUUUAGUUGCCAGCAUUUAGUUGGGCACUCUAGAAAGACCGCCGGUGAUAAACCGGAGGAAGGUGUGGAUGACGUCAAGUCAUCAUGCCCCUUACACCCUGGGCUACACACGUACUACAAUGCUACGGACAAAGGGCAGCAAACUCGCGAGAGCUAGCAAAUCCCAUAAACCGUGGCUCA
rnacentral:rRNA from 1 species